CUGAAAGCCUCGUGCUGUGAAUAGAAUGGAUUUUAAAAAGCAAAAUAAAACAGGUUUGUAUUUCAUAUGCACUGGUAGGUCAGCUAAUAUCCUGCACAUUGUAAGUGUUUAUCUUGCAAAAAUAUUAUAAGCGUCCUUGAGAGAGAUUUGAUUGAAAAUAGCUUAACUGUGACUGACGAUGCUGCUUGCCACGUUGCCCAGCCCCAAAACAAGGACUCUCUUUCAUUCUCCUACGCCUUCCAGAAGAGCACAGUCUGGGUGAUGUGGGCUCACAAUUACUUCGUUCUCAAGAGAUGAUUCCUUACGAAGCUUCAGGACAAUUUUACAUAUUCAAUUUCUAUUCUUACUUCAGAAAAAAUACUCUUUUCUUGUUCUGGUGAAGGAGAAAUCUAUCGCGUGGGACAAUGAGGGGGAAAAAACAAUGCAUGUGAUGCUGGCUGAAGAAGGUUACUAAGCUGCUGCUGUAUUCAGCAGGGUGCUCAAUGGCAGCGGGAGUAGAACAUGGGUUCAGACGACUGUCUCAGUGGCCAUCCAGAAGUCCAUGUGAAUGAUGCGCACUCAUCCACCCCGUUCCACCCUCACUUUCUCCACCUGGGAAGGAUUAAUGAAGACGGCUACAUUUGAAUUUAUGUGCCUGUGCUGAGCAUCUCUAACUAAUCUCUGUCAGCCCAAGUGUUCUCUAUUUGUCCCUCACGCCCUUUGCUGAGACUUGAAAAAGAAGCCAGAAAAGAGUCUGUAGUUAUCAGUUCUUUUGAA
ensembl:lncRNA